rnacentral:rRNA from 1 species
GCUCAGGAUGAACGCUGGCGGCGUGCNUAAUACAUGCAAGUCGAGCGAACAGAUGAGAAGCUUGCUUCUCUGAUGUUAGCGGCGGACGGGUGAGUAACACGUGGGUAACCUACCUAUAAGACUGGGAUAACUCCGGGAAACCGGGGCUAAUACCUGAUAAUAUUUUGAACCGCAUGGUUCAAUAGUGAAAGACGGCUUCGGCUGUCACUUAUAGAUGGACCCGCGCCGUAUUAGCUAGUUGGUAAGGUAAUGGCUUACCAAGGCGACGAUACGUAGCCGACCUGAGAGGGUGAUCGGCCACACUGGAACUGAGACACGGUCCAGACUCCUACGGGAGGCAGCAGUAGGGAAUCUUCCGC